rnacentral:lncRNA from 1 species
CUCAGAUGAGUGAAUUUGAAACCACAGGAAUUUGAGGCCUUGUGACCAAGUCACCUAAGACGUGAGCCCAUUCACUGUGAACCUACUCUUGCCUUCAUAAACGUUGCUGCUUUUUCCCUACCAUCACCGGCUGCGUCCACGUCUUUGUUCAUCACACACCAGAACCUAGGAAGCUGCCCGGGACCCCAUCACCCAGGUAACACAGGUGUUUGUCCACUCGCCUCCCCAUUUUCUGGGACUUUCUUCUUCUUCUGUUAUGCGACUGUUCGCAAGUCACCGUGGGAUUGCGACUUCGAUCUUCUUUCUCC